GGCGGCCUCGGCCAGCGGGCGCAGCUGGUCCUCGAUGUUGGCGCCGACGACGCCGACGCCGAUCGCGCGGCGGAUCGUCUCCGCCGGGUCGCCG
rnacentral:tRNA from 1 species